GACGAACGCUGGCGGCGUGCUUAACACAUGCAAGUCGAACGGAAAGGCCCUGCUUUUGUGGGGUGCUCGAGUGGCGAACGGGUGAGUAACACGUGAGUAACCUGCCCUUGACUUUGGGAUAACUUCAGGAAACUGGGGCUAAUACCGGAUAGGAGCUCCUGCUGCAUGGUGGGGGUUGGAAAGUUUCGGCGGUUGGGGAUGGACUCGCGGCUUAUCAGCUUGUUGGUGGGGUAGUGGCUUACCAAGGCUUUGACGGGUAGCCGGCCUGAGAGGGUGACCGGCCACAUUGGGACUGAGAUACGGCCCAGACUCCUACGGGAGGCAGCAGUGGGGAGUAUUGCACAGUGGGCGGAAGCCUGAUGCAGAGACGCCGCAUGCGGGAUGACGGCCUUCGGGUUGUAAACCGCUUUCGCCUGUGACGAAGCGUGAGUGACGGUAAUGGGUAAAGAAGCACCGGCUAACUACGUG
rnacentral:rRNA from 1 species